rnacentral:tRNA from 1 species
GCAUUGGUGGUAUAGUGGUGAGCAUAACUGCCCUUCAAGCAGUUGACCUGGGAUCAAUUCCCAGCCAAUGCA